GACGAACGCUGGCGGCGUGCCUAAUACAUGCAAGUCGGGCGGACCGACCGAGGGCUUCCUCCUGUUUUGUCAGCGGCGGACGGGUGAGUAACACGUGGGCAACCUGCCCGCAAGACCGGGAUAACUCCGGGAAACCGGAGCUAAUACCGGAUAACACCGAAGCCCGCAUGGUCUUCCAUAGAAAGGCGGCCUUUUGGCAAUUAUUUGCGGAUGGGCGCGCGGCGCGUUAGCUAGUUGCUGAGGGAUCGGCUCACCAAUCCCACGAUGCGUCGCCGGCCAGAGAGGGUGACCGGCCAAAAUGGGACUGAGACGAGACCCAUACUCCUACGGGAGGCACCAGUAGGGAAUCCCCCGCCAUGGGAGCAAGCCUGACGGUGCGACGCCGCGUGGGGGGAGGAGGGCUUCGGGUCGCAAAGCCCUGGUGGGAAUGAGGAACGCGAGCCGGUCGAAGAUGGAAAGGCAAUGACGGUACCGCAGGAGAAAGCCCCGGCUAAAUACGUG
rnacentral:rRNA from 1 species